rnacentral:rRNA from 1 species
AGUAGUUUGAUCAUGGCUCAGAACGACGCUGGCGGCAGGCUUAACACAUGCAAGUCGAACGGAUCCUUCGGGAUCAGUGGCGGACGGGUGAGUAACGCGUGGGAACCUACCCUGGGGUGGGGAAUAACCUUGGGAAACCGAGGCUAAUACCGCAUACGCCCUAUUGGGGAAAGACUAUGUUGCCCUGGGAUGGGCCCGCGUCCGAUUAGCUAGUUGGUGGGGUAAUGGCCUACCAAGGCUGCGAUCGGUAGCUGGUCUGAGAGGAUGAUCAGCCACACUGGGACUGAGACACGGCCCAGACUCCUACGGGAGGCAGCAGUGGGGAAUAUUGGACAAUGGGGGCAACCCUGAUCCAGCCAUGCCGCGUGAGUGAAGAAGGCCUUAGGGUUGUAAAGCUCUUUCACCCGUGACGAUGAUGACGGUAGCGGGAGAAGAAGCCCCGGCUAAUUCCGUG